rnacentral:rRNA from 1 species
UACGUAGGGGCGAGCGUUGUCCGGAAUGAUUGGGCGUAAAGGGCGCGUAGGCGGCUGUGCAAGUCAGUAGUGGAAGCCCAGCUUUUAAGGUUGGAAGUGCUAUUGAAACUGUGCAGCUUGAGUGCAGGAGAGGUUAUCGGAAUUCCCGGUGUAGCGGUGAAAUGCGUAGAGAUCGGGAGGAACACCAGUGGCGAAGGCGGGUGACUGGACUGCAACUGACGCUGAGGCGCGAAAGUGUGGGGAGCAAACAGGAUUAGAUACCCCCGUA